AAUGAACGCUGGCGGCAUGCCUAACACAUGCAAGUCGAACGAAGCCUUCGGGCUUAGUGGCGCACGGGUGCGUAACGCGUGGGAAUCUGCCCUUGGGUUCGGAAUAACAGUGGGAAACUACUGCUAAUACCGAAUGAUGUCGUAAGACCAAAGAUUUAUCGCCCAGGGAUGAGCCCGCGUAGGAUUAGCUAGUUGGUGUGGUAAAGGCGCACCAAGGCGACGAUCCUUAGCUGGCUGAGAGGAUGAUCAGCCACACUGGGACUGAGACACGGCCCAGACUCCUACGGGAGGCAGCAGUGGGGAAUAUUGGACAAUGGGCGAAAGCCUGAUCCAGCAAUGCCGCGUGAGUGAUGAAGGCCUUAGGGUUGUAAAGCUCUUUUACCCGGGAUGAUAAUGACAGUACCGGGAGAAUAAGCUCCGGCUAACUCCGUG
rnacentral:rRNA from 1 species